rnacentral:misc_RNA from 1 species
GAUGAAGAACGCAGCGAAAUGCGAUAAGUAGUGUGAAUUGCAGAAUUCAGUGAAUCAUCGAAUCUUUGAACGCACAUUGCGCCCCUUGGUAUCCCGAGGGGCAUGCCUGUUCGAGCGUCAUUUCACCACUCAAGCCUGGCUUGGUGUUGGGCGACGUCCCCUUUGGGGACGCGCCUCGAAACGCUCGGCGGCGUGGCACCGGCUUUAAGCGUAGCAGAAUCUUUCGCUUUGGAAGUCGGGGCCCCGUCUGCCGGAAGACCUACUCGCAAGGUUGACCUCGGAUCAGGCAGGGAUACCCGCUGAACUUAAGGAUAUCAAUAAGCGGAGGA